ACUUUCAUUUUCUGUUCAUUGAUGUUUUGCCUAAAUUAAUUUCUGCAGUUGACCAGGAACUGGACUUACAGACAGAAAUGACCUGCCAUGUGAGUGCCGGAAGUCAAACCCAGAUCCCCUGGAAGACCAACCAGUGCUCUCCACCCCUGAGCCACCCCUCCAGCCCCCACUCUUUGUUUUUUAAGCCAAGAAUUUGUUUCUACCCUCUCUGCAUCUUUAUGCAUGCUGUGAUGAGAAAUACCGAAGCACGAAUUAGAAGCAGCGAUGGUUAUCAGCCUCAUCUAGGCGGAUGGGCUUCCUCCCAUCCCGCCAUGGAACACAUGGAAUGCCAGGGAAUGGUUGGCUGGGGAACUCUUCCACAUUGUCGCAAGCGUUGGGAAAGAGAGUGCAAGAGACUGAUGAGCAAAAACCUGGAGCAAAGCAAUCUGCCGCCUCCCUCCUCUCAGAGAGGGAUAGCUGGACUGCUGGGAAAAGACCCGGGGCUGAGAAGAGGUGAAGGGAACAGGAUGUAAGCAGAGAGGGAGCAAAGAGGGAAGAAAAGAUUCCAGCAAGCAUUACCCAGUUCUAUUAGCUCCAUCUUCUCUUGAGCUCAGUUCAGCUUCCAUAUUGUUAAAGGUCAUCAUUUCCCUCUCGGACCGGUAUAAAACAGACAGAAAAUGAGCAAGAAAAAUGGGGAAAGAUAGAAAAGAGGAGAGGCAAUCGCGUGAAAGCUGUGAGUCCCAUUCCUGAUUCUCCUGAUUCUGCCAGAACAAGGAAAGCAUUUAAAAUCACCAGCCGACAUUUUGAAAGUGCCUUCUUACAGACAGACCUGGUUCCUGGUGCAGUGAGAUGCCAGGUACACACGGACUGGACUAAUAACACUUAGGGGCAAUAGCCUUUCAGUGGCCAUCAGGUAGCAGAACUUCUAAAUUGGCCAAUUUCAUGUGUCGGAAGGGUAGAAGACAUACAAUCACACAAGAAAAACACUUUAAUCCAGUCAUUAUGAGGCAGGCACGGAGUGGCUGUGCGUUUAUGGGUAUAUAUGUAAUUUCAGCCAGAUUCAUUCAGUCAGAAAGAUUGUUCUACCAGAAAACACUUCAAUAACUUGAAAUUACA
rnacentral:lncRNA from 1 species